rnacentral:lncRNA from 1 species
UCCCAUCCGACCCGCGUGCCAGCGAUCCGUCCCAUCCGACCCGCGAACCCAGGAACCCGUCCCAUCCGAGGCCGAGGCGGUCGUGGCUCGGUCAUGCAUGACGCACGCGUACGCGCUGCGUACUAGCGUACGCCCCGCGUACCGAGGCAGACCAGCCUCUCUAUAAAUAGCAUACGAAGGUUUCCAAAGAAAGGGCUCAUUUCUCUCCUCUCUCUCACAACUUUGCCUCAUUUUCCGUGCCCGUUCAAACCCGAAGCUCUGGUCUUUUUGGCUCAAGUCCUGAAGGUCGAUUUUACUCCCGAGAUUCCCGAGAAUCCCGAGGAAAAUCCGUUUCCCGAGACGAAACUCUGCCCGGUUUUCCAUCUCGCUAUCUCCAAAACUUUCAAGUGAGUUUCAUACCCCUUAAUCAACCGUUUUAAUUAUUCUAAAUACUUUUAUAUGCUUUCAAAGGGGGGGAUUACAAGUAUGACACACGAGUAUUAUCGUGUGUUACAUAAAGAAACUCUUUUAUAUACUGUUAAAUAUUCAAAUCACAUUCGGUUUAUAAACUUUUAAAGGAACUUUUAUAUAUAAAUAUGAAACAUAUGUUACAAUAGUAUUCGAAUCUUUUAAAAUAUGAAGUUGUUGUAAUACAUGUAUAAAACUAAACUGUUCUUAAAUUAUUCUUUUUCUAAGUAUUUCUAAACAAAUAAAGCACACUUUUUAAAACUAUAAUAGGUAUAGUUUUACGAACAGAUUUCUAACUCUUAUGUACUAGAAACAUAUAUUUCAAGAGGUAUACCUUCGUAUACAAGAACAAACGUAACAUUUUAACAAGUUGAUCUGUUUUUAUACCACGGGUUUGUGAGACACUAACUUCAUGUACGUUCGAGUACACAUCUCAAGUCCUGUAUUAUAUACCAGAAUCCCUUGGAGGGGGAGCAUGGUGUUUGUGUAUAGAUCUAUACGGGCUUGACAACCCGCGCCCUGACUGUUAGCUGCAGUCCACCGUUUGGGGUGACAAACGUCAUAACAUUCCAACGCCUGAAGAACGUUGUGUAUAGGCAUUCAGAGUCAAUAGUAUGGUUAUAAAACUCACAAGGGGUAUUAAAAAUGCAUUGAUUUACAAGGUUUUCAAACUCAUUGGUUAUUUUACAUUUACAUACAUUUUGGAAACAAACAUUGGUCUUGAGUGAAGGCUACUUUUAUACUAGUAGAAAAUAUAGGAUUUUCUAAACACAAACAAACAAAGAUAAAACAUUUCAUUUCAUUCAAACAUUGUCACUUAAAUACUUAUGAAAUUCACCAGCUUAAAUGCUGAUCAACUCUUUCAAAAUUACUUGUAUGUCCCAGGGAUUUAGUAAAUUUCAGGUACUAGUAUGCUUUUGAAGAAGAGAUGCUGCGGCGCCAGUUUAAUCUCAUAUUUUUGAACAUCAUAUUGUAAUUGGUUUUGAACAUGUAACUUUUGACAAAUGUAAACUUUCAAUUAUAUAUAUGAUGGUUGUAUUGCUUUCUUUACUAUGUAUUCAUUUGUUACGCUACCACAUGAAGUCAUCCACCCCCGAACGUUUCCGCCGUUCAGGUUUGGGGGUGUGACAGAUUGGUAUCAGAGCAAUGUUUAUAGUGAACUAAGUAUAUCGAACCACAUAAGAUAUACAAACUAUAAAUGCUUAAGGGACUAAUACUCUCUAACAAAACAAAUUUCUUUUUACACUUAAGCAGCAUUUCGUUCAACUUAAAUUAAUAGUUCAUUUAAGUACAAUUACAUGCAUACCACAAACUAUUUUCAUGUUAUACAAUUUUACAAGUAUAUAGGCAGGUUGAUACGCACGAAUCAAGGAAUGAUCGUAGUAAGCAACAAGUCAAACCUUACCAAGUCAUUACAAAAAUCAAACACAAGAAUUUAAAUACUAUAGGAGUAUUUACUAUCUAAAACUAGUUUAACUUACAUGUUUUACAUGUCCCGACGUUAUUCAAUUCUUAUAACCUUAAUUCUCGUAUAGUCAAAUGGCUGGAUUUCACCACCCUGGCGAUCCCUACUUUCCCAACCAAGGUAACGGAGGAUGGAUCGAGGAUGAUCCCGAAGAGGACGAGGAACCCAUAAACGUGGGUGAUGACUCCGGUACCGACUCAGAGCCGGAUGUUAUCGAUCCACCACCCAUUCAACCUCCCGUCUUCGUAAGGAACUUUCAAGGACCGACUCCCGUCUGGGGAAGUCACCUCUACCAUUGGAGUCAACAGCAAAACCUACGCCCUCCCUACGGCAUGUGUCGGGACUUCUAUGAUGUCCGCGGCGGAGGUUCGGCUGAUCGAGCACUCCCAGUAAUGGUGGGUAAGUUAGCCAAUCAGUCCUAUCAGUCUGGAGUACAAGCUAGUCGACUCCGGGAUAUCAACGUAGAAGUGCAGGUUCACACUUCUGACAUCCGUAGGUUGGACAAUAGGCAAGACAACGCUCAGUUCCAAACCGAAGCGUUUCAAGCGCAAAUUAUUGCAGCCCUCGCCGAACUAAGGGAACAGCAAGCCGCUUUAGAUAGACGUCUAAUGGAGUCAAAGCAAUCAGAUGCGGAGUCAAGCUCCAAACGCAACUUUCGACACAAGUAGUGCUUGCCAAGAACUCAAAUUUUGUUAUAGCUUAGGACCUCGGCUAAAAGUCUUUAAAUUUCUUAAACUUAGUAAACGGAGAUCCUUAUAGAGGACAAAUUUUCUUGAUCGUUGUAACAACUUUUAUAUUAAUAUAAGUGGCACUAUUAUUACUAUGUGGAGUAUUUCGUUCGAACCUUGAAUGGUCCUUGGGAACCCAAAUACUUGUUUCAUACUUUCAGUCUUACAAAUAACUUUCAUUCUUCUAUUUUAAGACUCGUGCUAUCUUUUGUUGUUGAAUUAUAGAGAUUUAAUUCAUGAGACACAUACAUUUUCCAUUUCAUGAAAUUCUUAUCAUUGUUUUAUUUCCAUCUAUAGUUGAAGGAUGCCUCCGCGUAGGAAUCCAAGGCGAUACAACAAUGAGGAAAUACCUAUACCACCACCUCCACCACCCCAAUUUGAUGCUGUAAUGUUUCAAGCAGCCGUCAACGCAGCAGUGGCAGCUGCCAUGUCACAGAUCAAUAACUCGAGUGCUAAUGGCUCGGGAUCUGGCGUACACACGUCCAAUCAUGGCGAGAGUCAUGGACCACCUCGGGAAUGCACCUAUAAGGACUUCACCAAUGCCAAGCCCCGGAUGUUUUAUGGUACUGGUGGUGUGAUGGCCCUGAGACAAUGGAUUGAAAGGACGGAGGCAGUCUUUGAAAUAUGCUCUUGUCCCGAACACAGCAAGGUCAAGUUUGCAACCUUCACCCUUCUCGAUAAAGCUUUAACUUGGUGGAAUGGCCACGUUAAAGUACUUACCCUAAUCGUGGCAAACUCCAUAAGCUGGGAGAGCUUGAAGGCCAUGAUGAUGAGAGAAUACUGCCCACGGGGAGAAAUUCAAAAGCUUGAACACGAGCUAUGGACUCUCGGAAUGGUGGGUACCGACAUCGCUACUUAUACCAACAGAUUCUGCGAACUGGCAAUCCUUUGUCCAGAUAUGAUUGCUCCCGAGAGCAAGAAGAUAGAAAGGUACAUCUGGGGACUGACGCCCCGGAUGCGGUCAAGCGUGUUAGCUUCCAAACCUGACACUUUUGAAAGUGCUAAGGAACUAGCACAAUCUCUGAUCGACUACGGAGGUCAUCAGAACUCAACCACUUCUGCACGAGCACCACAGAAAGAAAACAACAACUACAACAACAACAACAAUGGCAGGAAGAGAGCGUGGAUCAAAGGAAAGGGUGGAUCUUCCCAAGAAUCCGCAAAGAAACCACUCGUGUCGGUUAAUGCUGCUAUUGUACCUGCUACAGUCCCUACAAAUACCUACCCAACAAAGCCUUAUGUAGGCAACCUCCCAAAAUGCACCAAGUGCAAUUUCCACCACCAUGGACCUUGCCGAGAUAUGCAGUGUGCCAACUGCAACAGGAAAGGACACACGGCUCGUUUCUGCAAAGAACCCGCAAAGCCGAUCACUCAAGUUCCCGGUGCGGGUGUAGGGCAGGCUUGCUACGGUUGUGGUGAGGUGGGCCACUACAAGAGAAACUGUCCUAAGGCAGCAGGCACCGGAGGUGUGGGACGAGUUUUGGCAAUAGGCCACGACGAAGCUGUAGCUGACCCAACUAUAGUUGCUGGUACGUUCCUUCUCGAUAAUUCAUACGCAUGCAUAUUAUUUGAUAGUGGAGCGGAGAGAAGCUUCGUGAGUCAAAACUUUAUCCAUUUACUUAAACCUAAACCUAGCAAGUUAAAAGAAUCAUUCACUGUAGAGAUGGCCAAUGGAAAAACCGAAAGCACAAAUUACAUAUACAUGGGCUGUACGUUAACAUUGGACGGCCAUUCUUUCCCAAUCAAUCUCAUGCCAUUACAAAUUAAAAGUUUCGACGUCAUAGUCGGCAUGGAUUGGUUGAGCCUUCUUCGCGCCGACAUCAUGUGCUUUGAGAAAGCAGUCCGUCUUAACCUCCCUAACAACGAAACAUUAGUUAUCUACGGCGACAAAUCUAGUGCAAACCUUCGCAUCAUUUCGUGCAUCCAAGCUCGAAAGUGCUUGCGGAAGGAUUGUCGAGCAUUCCUAGCGCACAUCGUCGAUACAAGUCAAGAACUGAAGGACAUCAAGAGCAUCUCGGUAGUACGCGACUUUCCCGAUAUCUUUCCAGAAGAACUACCAGGAUUACCACCGCAACGCCAAGUCGAGUUCAGAAUCGACUUAAUUCCAGGAGCUACCCCAGUAGCGAAGUCGCCUUAUCGUCUUGCACCAGCAGAGAUGCAGGAACUUUCCAGUCAACUUAAUGAACUCCUUCACAAAGGAUUCAUAAGACCAAGUUUCUCACCUUGGGGAGCACCGGUCUUGUUUGUAAAGAAGAAAGACGGAUCGUUCCGUAUGUGCAUCGACUACAGAGAGCUGAACAAACUUACUGUCAAGAACCGCUAUCCUCUACCCCGUAUCGACGACCUAUUCGAUCAACUUCAAGGGGCGAACUACUUCUCCAAAAUAGACCUGCGAUCCGGAUAUCACCAAUUACGAGUUCUAGAGGGGGACAUUCCAAAGACAGCCUUCCGAACUCGUUAUGGACACUACGAAUUCGUGGUGAUGCCGUUCGGAUUAACCAAUGCACCAGCAGUAUUUAUGGACCUAAUGAAUAGGGUAUGCCGCCCUUACUUGGAUCAGUUCGUCAUCGUCUUUAUCGAUGAUAUACUUAUCUACUCUCGAAGUGAGGAAGAGCAUAGUCAACACCUACGAAAAGUCCUAGAAACACUGCGAACGGAGAAACUCUAUGCGAAGUUCUCUAAAUGCGAAUUUUGGAUUCGAAGAGUCGAAUUUUUAGGUCACGUUGUUAGCGAGAAAGGUAUACACGUGGACCCCUCCAAAAUUAAGGCUAUUGAGAACUGGUCGGCACCAAAGACACCUACAGAAAUUCGUCAAUUUCUAGGUCUAGCUGGCUACUAUCGCAGAUUCAUAAAGAACUUUUCGAGCAUUGCGAAACCUCUUACUUCAUUAACCCAGAAAGGUGUGGCCUUUGACUGGGAAGCGAAACAAGAGAAGGCAUUCCAGACACUAAAGCAGGCCUUGUGCACCGCACCGAUACUAGCCCUCCCCGAAGGAAUAGAAGACUUUGUUGUGUAUUGCGAUGCUUCAAAUCAAGGACUAGGUUGUGUUCUUAUGCAGAGGGGAAAGGUUAUCGCUUAUGCCUCCCGACAGCUUAAGACACACGAAGUGAACUAUACGACACACGAUCUCGAGUUAGGAGCAGUGGUAUUUGCUCUGAAGAUCUGGAGGCACUACUUAUACGGAACAAAGAGUACUAUUUUCACCGAUCACAAGAGCCUUCAACACAUUUUCGAUCAGAAGGAACUCAACAUGCGACAACGACGAUGGGUUGAGUUACUGAAUGACUACGAAUGCGAAAUUCGUUAUCAUCCUGGCAAGGCCAACGUAGUAGCCGACGCCCUCAGUCGAAAGGAAUACACUGGUCGGAGGGUCAAAUCUCUGACCAUGACUAUCCAUUCCCACUUAUCCACACAAAUUAAGGAAGCACAAAUGGAAGCUUUGCAACCUGAAAAUGUGGCGGGUGAAUCCCUGCGAGGAAUGGAGAAGAAUUUAGAAGUCAAGGGUGGCGGAGCCUACUAUCUCAUGGACCGAAUCUGGACCCCAAAUCAUGGUGGUUUCAGAAACGUAGUCAUGACCGAGGCUCACAACUCAAGAUAUUCCGUUCACCCGGGUUCAGAUAAAAUGUAUCUGGAUCUUAAGAAACUGUACUGGUGGCCUAACAUGAAAGCAGAAAUUGCUACCUUCGUGAGUAAAUGUCUUACUUGCGCUAAGGUUAAGGUCGAGUAUCAGAAACCGUCAGGACUACUACAACAACCAGAGAUACCGGAAUGGAAAUGGGAGCGGAUUACUAUGGACUUCAUAACCAAGUUACCCAAGACGACAAGUGGACUCGAUACCAUAUGGGUCAUUGUCGACAGAUUGACCAAAUCCGCACAUUUCCUACCCAUCAAGGAGACUGACAAAAUGGAGAAGCUUACAAGAACUUACUUAAGGGAAGUAGUGCGACUGCAUGGUGUUCCGAUAUCCAUUAUCUCCGAUCGAGAUAGUAGAUUCACUUCAAGAUUCUGGCAGUCACUACAAAGUUCCCUGGGAACUAGGCUAGACAUGAGUACAGCCUACCACCCACAGACAGACGGACAAAGUGAGAGAACAAUACAAACUUUAGAAGACAUGCUGAGAGCCUGCGUGAUUGACUUUGGAAAGGCAUGGGAUAUUCAUUUACCCCUUGUCGAAUUUUCAUACAACAAUAGUUAUCAUACAAGCAUAAAGGCUGCUCCGUUUGAAGCCCUCUAUGGUCGAAAGUGCAGAUCCCCUCUGUGCUGGACUGAAGUUGGCGAUACCCAGUUAGCUAGAGGAAGAGUUCCUGAAAGCACUCUCACCGGUCCGGAGAUCAUACGUGAAACAACAGAGAAGAUCGUUCAGAUUCGUGAACGAUUGAAAGCCUCAAGAGACCGACAGAAAAGCUACGCUGACCAAAGGAGGAAACCUUUGGAAUUCCAGGUAGGAGACCACGUCUUAUUAAAGGUCUCACCGUGGAAGGGUUUAAUACGAUUUGGAAAGCGUGGGAAACUAAAUCCAAGAUACAUAGGGCCUUUCGAGAUUCUUGCCAGAAUCGGCCCUGUGGCUUACAAGCUUAACCUACCGCGCGAACUUAGUAACAUCCAUCCAACCUUCCACGUCUCAAACUUGAAAAAGUGUCUGUCCGACGAGACUCUUGUUAUUCCACUCGACGAGAUCGAGAUCAACGAGAGCCUCAACUUUGUGGAAGAACCAGUAGAAAUCAUGGACCGAGAGGUCAAACAAACAAAACAAAGUCGCAUACCCAUCGUGAAGGUUCGCUGGAACGCCAAGCGGGGACCCGAAUUCACAUGGGAACGCGAAGAUCAGAUGAAACAAAAGUACCCUCAUCUCUUUCAUGUUCACUAGUAUCUUUACUACUUUAAAUUUCGGGACGAAAUUCUCUCUAACGGGGGGAUGAUGUGACAACCCGAUAUUUCAACUCUUUGUAACGACCAAAAUGGGUCAAGUAUUGUAACCACUUCUGAAUAAUAAAAAGUUACUUUCAUAAUAAAAUGUAUAAAUAAGUUCUACUUAAUUUCCUUCUAUGAUUAAAUGUCUUUGAACCAUGAUCGUACGUGAAAAGAACGCCCAAAUCCGACUUCAUAUAGCGAAGUUAUGAUUUUUCCAAGUUCGGCUUAGCAACAGACAGCUAAAAACUCGAAUCGGAGAUCGAGCGACUUUUGGCCGGAAUGACCUAAACGAGAAUCGAAGGUCUCGACAAUGGUAUUCCAGCGGUAAAAAGUCUGGCAAAAACCGACAUCAGAUAAAGAAGUUAUGAAUUUUCAAAGAAAUUCCUUAAACACGAUGGGUUUUUAAUAAAUAAUAAAAAUAUAAUUUUGGAAUUUGCCGACGGAGUCUAAACGAAAGUUGUAGAGCGUAGUCUCACCUACGCGAGGAUAUAAAGACCAUCGAAAACGGAGUUCGUAUGAAGAAGAUAUGAAUUUUUGAAGUUUAUUAAAUAAAUUAAUUAUUUAUUUAAUUCAAAAUUCGGAUAUUAUCCGAAGGGGAGUCAGCAUCCUCCUCCGAGGUACGCGCUGCGUACCCCUGUACGCCCCGCGUAACCGAGAGGAUUGGCCUCUGAUCGUCCACGUCGCGCUAUCCGAAGAAACCGACCCAUCCGACCCGUCCGAAGCCCCGACCCGUCCGACCCGACGUCCCAUCCGACCCGGCGUCCCAUCCGACCCGCGUACCCAGCAACCCGUCCCAUCCGAACCGAGGCAGUCGAGGCUUCGGUCAUGCAUGACGUACGCGUACGCGCUGCGUACGAGCGUACGCCCCGCGUACCGAGGCAGACCAGCCUUACUAUAAAUAGGAUGCGAGGGUUUCCAAAGAAAGGGUUCAUUUCUCUUCUCUCUCUCUCAACUUUGCCUCGUUUUCCGUGUCCGUUCAAACCCGAAGCUCUGGUCUUUUUGGCUCAAGUCCCGAAGGUCGAUUUUACUCCCGAGAUUCCCGAGAAUCCCGAGGAAAAUCCGUUUCCCGAGACGAAACUCUGCCCGGUUUUCCAUCUCGCUAUCUCCAAAACUUUCAAGUGAGUUUCAUACCCCUUAAUCAACCUUUUUAAUUAUUCUAAAUACUUUUAUAUGCUUUCAAGGGGGGGAUUACAAGUAAAACACACGAGUAUUAUCGUGUGUUACAUAAAGAAACUCUUUUAUAUACUGUUAUAUAUUCAAAUCACAUGCGAUUUAUAAACAUUUAAAGGAACUUUUAUAUAUAUAUAACAUAUGUCACAAUAGCAUUUUACCUUUUAAAAUAUAAUGUUGUUGUAAUGCAUGUAUAAACUAAACUGUUCUUAGAUUUUUCUUGUCUAUCCUAGACUCUACACCAAAAAUCUAUACUUUCAUAAACAAGUGAUUCCUUUUCUCAAUAUUUCUAAACAAACAAGACACGCUUUUUGGAAACUAUAAUAGGUAUAGUUUUACGAACAGAUUUCUAACUCUUAUGUACUAGAAACACAUAUUUCAAGAAGUUUACUUUCGUAUACAAGAACAAACGUAACAUUUUAACAAGUAGAUCUGUUUUUAUACCACGGAUUUGUGAGACACUAACUUCAUGUACGUUCGAGUACACAUUUCAAGUCCUGUAUUAUAUACCAGAAUCCCUUGGAGGGGGAGCAUGGUGUUUGUGUAUAGAUCUAUACGGGCUUGACAACCCGCGCCCUGACUGUUAGCUGCAGUCCACCGUUUGGGGUGACAAACGUCAUAACAUUCCAACGCCUGAAGAACGUUGUGUAUAGGCAUUUCGAGUCAAUAGUAUGGUUAUAAAACUCACAAGGGGUAUUAAAAACGCAUUAAUUUACAAGGUUUUCAAACUCAGUUAUUAUUUUACUUUUACAUACAUUUUGGAAACAAACAUUGGUCUCGAGUGAAGGCUACUUUUAUGCUAGUAGAAAAUAUAGGAUUUUCUAAACACUCACAAGAAAAGAUAAAACAUUUCAUUUCAUUUAAACAUUGUCAUUUAAAUACUUAUGAAAUUCACCAGCUUAAAUGCUGAUCAACUCUUUCAAAAUUACUUGUAUGUCCCAGGGAUUCAGUAAAUUUCAGGUACUAGUAUGCUUUUGAAGAAGAGAUGCUGCGGCGCCAGUUUAAUCUCAUAUUUUUGAACAUCAUAUUGUAAUUGGUUUUGAACAUGUAACUUUUGACAAAUGUAAACUUUCAAUUAUAUAUAUGAUGGUUGUAUUGCUUUCUUUACUAUGUAUUCAUUUGUUACGCUACCACAUGAAGUCAUCCACCCCCGAACGUUUCCGCCGUUCAGGUUUGGGGGUGUGACAGGCUCGCAUCCACCUGAAUAUCCCCUAAUGGAACCACCGCCGAUUCAUCGGCUAUACACUU